GACGAACGCUGGCGGCGUGCUUAACACAUGCAAGUCGAGCGAUGAAGCUCCUUCGGGAGUGGAUUAGCGGCGGACGGGUGAGUAACACGUGGGCAACCUGCCUUAUAGAGAGGAAUAGCCAUCCGAAAGGAUGAUUAAUACCUCAUAAUAUUGUAGUUUCGCAUGAAGCAACAAUCAAAGGAGCAAUCCACUAUAAGAUGGGCCCGAGGCGCAUUAGCUAGUUGGUGAGGUAACGGCUCAGCAAGGCGACGAUGCGUAGCCGACCUGAGAGGGUGAUCGGCCACAUUGGGACUGAGACGCGGCACAAACUCCUACGGGAGGCAGCAGUGGGGAAUAUUGCACAAUGGGGGAAACCCUGAUGCAGCAACGCAGCGUGAGUGAUGACGGCCUUCGGGUUGUAUAGCUCUGUCUUCAGGGACGAUAAUGACGGUACCUGAGGAGGAAGCCACGGCUAACUACGUGCCAGCAGCCGCCGUAA
rnacentral:rRNA from 1 species